rnacentral:lncRNA from 1 species
GAGCAACACUUUGUCUUAUGGAAGAGGUUAUACCAGGAUAACAAGAUCUGUCAUAUUCAUAUUACCAUACUGCAUUUUAGAUAGUCACUGCCUAAGGCUCAUUAGUAAUUAUAAUAGCGAUGAUCACAAUUAGCCUUUAUUAAGUCUUUAUUACACUCCAUAUCACUAAUGUCCAAAAUAGUGGCUGGUAUACUGCAAGUACUUAAUAAAUGCUGGUUAAACAAGGAACAGGACUUGAGCUAGAAGAAAAGAUGGAGAGAGACUGAGAAUUGUUUCAGACAUGGGACACAGCAUGAACAAAAUCUGGGAUGUGGGGUGAACAAGCAGUCUGGAUGGAAGCGAAGAGGCUUCAUGCAGGAAAUGAGUGAAGUCACCUCGCAGAAGCCCCGAAUGCCUGGGCCUGUGAACUCGGAGCUGUUCCUGCGCCAUGUUCCUGGAUGGCUGCGCCCACUUUUGCGCCCAUUGGC